rnacentral:rRNA from 1 species
UACGUAGGGUGCAAGCGUUGUCCGGAAUUAUUGGGCGUAAAGGGCUCGUAGGCGGUCCAUCACGUCGGGAGUGAAAAGCUGGGGCUUAACCCCGAGCCUGCUUCUGAUACGGGCAGACUAGAGGUAUGCAGGGGAGAACGGAAUUCCUGGUGUAGCGGUGAAAUGCGCAGAUAUCAGGAGGAACACCGGUGGCGAAGGCGGUUCUCUGGGCAUUACCUGGCGCUGAGGAGCGAAAGUGUGGGGAGCGAACAGG